GGGCCCUUGGCAAUGCCAGGAGAACAGAAAGGGCCUCUCAGACUGCACUAGCUACUUCAGUCUGGGCCAGGCCAGGCCAGGCUGGGCCCUGGAGAUCUCUGAAGUAAAACCCCAAGAAGGCAGGCUUGCUCUGUCUGUCUGUCUGUCUGUCCGUCUGUCUGCCUGUCUGCCUGUCUGUCUCUGGUUGUUACUCCUGCUAUCGAGGCUCCUGCAGUAACAGCUAACAGGCUGUGGAAUGAAUUCACCACCGAGAACUUCUUGGCCAGGGCUGGAGAAAGGGUCGCCUCAAAGGAAGAGACAGAUUCCCUCUGUUGUAAGUCCCCUUCCCUAGGAGCUGUCCUCACCGGAGCUUGACAGAGCUGAGCUUGAGUUCUGAGAGCAAGGUAGUAUGACACUAAGACACUGAGAGAAGUGAAUUUCUUGUUACUUGCUCUUCCAUCUUUUCUGCACCUCAGCACUCAGUGGCCCUCAUUCUUGGUUUGUAUCCUGUAAGCAUAUGGGGUCUGAGACUGGGCCAUCUGCAGGGUGGCUUGCCUUUGGUGCCCACUUAUUACUCAACUCCCCUUUCCUCCCAGGCCUUUAGGUACAUCUGAAAAAGUAGCCUGCCCCCAGUGUCUCGUGGGCUGUAACUCCUGAGGGGAUGGGGUCUAUUUUCUAUCUCUUGGCUUUGUACUGACAGAGUUAGACCUAACUUCAGCUCCAUCAUUUAGUAGCAAAUUAGGUAUAACCUUGUGAAUGGAGAGUUCUUUACUUUGAAGGCUGUGGUUAG
rnacentral:lncRNA from 1 species